AUUCUUCUACGGGACGCAGCAGUGGGGAAUAUUGCACAAUGGGGGAAACCCUGAUGCAGCGACGCCGCGUGAGUGAGGAAGUAUUUCGGUAUGUAAAGCUCUAUCAGCAGGGAAGAAAAUGACGGUACCUGACUAAGAAGCCCCGGCUAACUACGUGCCAGCAGCCGCGGUAAUACGUAGGGGGCAAGCGUUAUCCGGAUUUACUGGGUGUAAAGGGAGCGUAGACGGAGGAGCAAGUCUGAUGUGAAAAUCCGGGGCCCAACCCCGGAACUGCCUUGGAAACUGUUUAUCUAGAGUGUCGGGGG
rnacentral:rRNA from 1 species